rnacentral:tRNA from 2 species
AGGUAAUUAUUUUAAAUAAAAUAUUUGAUUUCGGCUCAAAAGCUUCUGGUUAAAGUCCACAAUUACCUA